UGAGCAAUCUGCCCUUCUCAUCGGAAUAAGCGUUGGAAACGACGUCUAAUGCCGAAUACGACCUCCUUUCGCAUGAUCGGAGGUGGAAAGCUCCGGCGGAGAAGGAUGAGCUCGCGGCCUAUCAGCUAGUUGGUGUGGGUAAUGGCCCACAAGGCGACGGACGGGUAGCCGGCCUGAGAGGGUGACCGGCCACACUGGGACUGAGACACGGCCCAGACUCCGUACGGGAGCAG
rnacentral:rRNA from 1 species